AAAAAAGGAUAAAAAAAAAAAAAAAAGAGUAUGCAGGAAACGAAAUGAAAUAAUAUAGAAGAGAAUAAACGAAACACAGCCCUAAUCAAACCGCAGAGGGUAAAGGUAAGAAACCAAAAACCGNUUCCGAUCUCUGGGUAUUGGAAGGAAGAAAAAGGUGGCUUCGAGGGAAAAAGACGGGUGGGUUUUUCUUUUUUGGGGUAUUAUAUUAUAUAGGUUUUGUUUUUGUUGGGUAGGAUAUAAAAAAAUUCACAGAAAAUUCUAGUAUAAUUGCGUGCCACACGGGGUCGACAGAUUCUUCUUCGUCAAUAGAAGGAAAGAAGAAGAGAAACAGAUAAUACUAGAAUGGAGAUAGAUGGGUUCUGUUUGGACACAAAGAAACAUUGAGAAUU
rnacentral:misc_RNA from 1 species